rnacentral:rRNA from 1 species
UGCCAGCAGCCGCGGUAAUACGGAGGGUGCAAGCGUUGUUCGGAAUUACUGGGCGUAAAGCGCGCGUAGGCGGCUUUGUAAGUCGGAUGUGAAAGCCCCGGGCUUAACCUGGGGAUUGCAUUCGAUACUGCAUGGCUAGAGUAUGGUAGAGGGAAGUGGAAUUCCGGGUGUAGCGGUGAAAUGCGUAGAUAUCCGGAGGAACACCAGUGGCGAAGGCGACUUCCUGGGCCAAUACUGACGCUCAGGUGCGAAAGCGUGGGGAGCAAACAGGAUUAGAUA